GACGAACGCUGGCGGCGUGCUUAACACAUGCAAGUCGAACGAUGAAGCUGGAGCUUGCUCCGGUGGAUUAGUGGCGAACGGGUGAGUAACACGUGAGUAAUCUGCCCUUGACUCUGGGAUAACUGCGGGAAACUGUAGCUAAUACCGGAUACGACACCUUCGGGCAUCCGAUGGGUGUGGAAAGAAUUUCGGUCAAGGAUGAACUCGCGGCCUAUCAGCUAGUUGGUGAGGUAAUGGCGCACCAAGGCGACGACGGGUAGCCGGCCUGAGAGGGUGACCGGCCACACUGGGACUGAGACACGGCCCAGACUCCUACGGGAGGCGGCAGUGGGGAAUAUUGCACAAUGGGCGAAAGCCUGAUGCAGCAACGCCGCGUGAGGGAUGAAGGCCUUCGGGUUGUAAACCUCUUUUAGUUGGGAAGAAGCGAAAGUGACGGUACCAACAGAAAAAGCACCGGCUAACUACGUGCCAGCCGCCGCCGCAA
rnacentral:rRNA from 1 species